CGGGACACGUGGUAUCCUGUCUGAAUAUGGGGGGACCAUCCUCCAAGGCUAAAUACUCCUGACUGACCGAUAGUGAACCAGUACCGUGAGGGAAAGGCGAAAAGAACCCCGGCGAGGGGAGUGAAAAAGAACCUGAAACCGUGUACGUACAAGCAGUGGGAGCACGCUUAGGCGUGUGACUGCGUACCUUUUGUAUAAUGGGUCAGCGACUUAUAUUCUGUAGCAAGGUUAACCGAAUAGGGGAGCCGAAGGGAAACCGAGUCUUAACUGGGCGUUAAGUUGCAGGGUAUAGACCCGAAACCCGGUGAUCUAGCCAUGGGCAGGUUGAAGGUUGGGUAACACUAACUGGAGGACCGAACCGACUAAUGUUGAAAAAUUAGCGGAUGACUUGUGGCUGGGGGUGAAAGGCCAAUCAAACCGGGAGAUAGCUGGUUCUCCCCGAAAGCUAUUUAGGUAGCGCCUCGUGAAUUCAUCUCCGGGGGUAGAGCACUGUUUCGGCAAGGGGGUCAUCCCGACUUACCAACCCGAUGCAAACUGCGAAUACCGGAGAAUGUUAUCACGGGAGACACACGGCGGGUGCUAACGUCCGUCGUGAAGAGGGAAACAACCCAGACCGCCAGCUAAGGUCCCAAAGUCAUGGUUAAGUGGGAAACGAUGUGGGAAGGCCCAGACAGCCAGGAUGUUGGCUUAGAAGCAGCCAUCAUUUAAAGAAAGCGUAAUAGCUCACUGGUCGAGUCGGCCUGCGCGGAAGAUGUAACGGGGCUAAACCAUGCACCGAAGCUGCGGCAGCGACGCUGAUGCGUUGUUGGGUAGGGGAGCGUUCUGUAAGCCUGUGAAGGUGUGCUGUGAGGCAUGCUGGAGGUAUCAGAAGUGCGAAUGCUGACAUAAGUAACGAUAAAGCGGGUGAAAAGCCCGCUCGCCGGAAGACCAAGGGUUCCUGUCCAACGUUAAUCGGGGCAGGGUGAGUCGACCCCUAAGGCGAGGCCGAAAGGCGUAGUCGAUGGGAAACAGGUUAAUAUUCCUGUACUUGGUGUUACUGCGAAGGGGGGACGGAGAAGGCUAUGUUGGCCGGGCGACGGUUGUCCCGGUUUAAGCGUGUAGGCUGGUUUUCCAGGCAAAUCCGGAAAAUCAAGGCUGAGGCGUGAUGACGAGGCACUACGGUGCUGAAGCAACAAAUGCCCUGCUUCCAGGAAAAGCCUCUAAGCAUCAGGUAACAUCAAAUCGUACCCCAAACCGACACAGGUGGUCAGGUAGAGAAUACCAAGGCGCUUGAGAGAACUCGGGUGAAGGAACUAGGCAAAAUGGUGCCGUAACUUCGGGAGAAGGCACGCUGAUAUGUAGGUGAAGCGACUUGCUCGUGGAGCUGAAAUCAGUCGAAGAUACCAGCUGGCUGCAACUGUUUAUUAAAAACACAGCACUGUGCAAACACGAAAGUGGACGUAUACGGUGUGACGCCUGCCCGGUGCCGGAAGGUUAAUUGAUGGGGUCAGCGCAAGCGAAGCUCUUGAUCGAAGCCCCGGUAAACGGCGGCCGUAACUAUAACGGUCCUAAGGUAGCGAAAUUCCUUGUCGGGUAAGUUCCGACCUGCACGAAUGGCGUAAUGAUGGCCAGGCUGUCUCCACCCGAGACUCAGUGAAAUUGAACUCGCUGUGAAGAUGCAGUGUACCCGCGGCAAGACGGAAAGACCCCGUGAACCUUUACUAUAGCUUGACACUGAACAUUGAGCCUUGAUGUGUAGGAUAGGUGGGAGGCUUUGAAGUGUGGACGCCAGUCUGCAUGGAGCCGACCUUGAAAUACCACCCUUUAAUGUUUGAUGUUCUAACGUUGACCCGU
rnacentral:rRNA from 1 species